UACGGAGGAUGCGAGCGUUAUCCGGAAUCAUUGGGUUUAAAGGGUGCGUAGGCUGGUAUUUAAGUCAGUGGUGAAAUUUUCGUGCUUAACAUGAGAGCUGCCAUUGACUACUGGGUACCUAGAGUGUAUUUGAUGUGGCGGAAUGUGGUUGUGUAGCUGGUGAAAUGCUUAGAUAUGACACAGAACACCGAUAGCGAAGGCAGCCCACAAAGUUACAACUGACGCUGAUGCACGAAAGCGUGGGGAU
rnacentral:rRNA from 1 species